GGGAAAAUAAGAAAUAAAUUGGCUUCAGUUCAUAUGGUAGGCCCUAGGCUGUUCAGAGGAACCGAAGGAAAUCCACAGACAGGGGCUGCCUAAUCUGCCUAAUAUUACUAGCAGAUAUGGUGUAGAAACUGAAGUUGUUUAGCCUAAGCCUGAAAAUCAAUGUCCUCAAGGAUGUCGCUCCACAUUCCCUAGGAUUCAACAGGCUUGUCUUGGCAUCAUGACUCAGCAAAAAUCAAAUAACAUGAAUCUAGCAAGUAAAGGAAGCGAACAGAAUUGUUUUUGGUGUUUUUAGUACCAAACGUCAAAGCAACAACCAUCAACCUCAUCUACAGCUUGCACACCCUAGUAACUCCUUCGCCUAUGUCGCACAGUUUUCAUCUCUUGCCCCAUGGAUUCUUGAGUGUGGUACUCUGAUCAUAUUUCUGGAAACAAAAACCUUUUUUCUACCCUUAAUUCUCCUUCUCCUUCUCUAUUGUUACCUUAGCUAAUGGAUCAAUGAUUGUUGUCAAAGGAAUAGGUGUACCUCACCCUCUACUUCAUUACCUUUAACUUAAAUUCUUUUUGUACCUAAAUGUCCAUAUAAUCUAAUUAUCAGUAGUAAAUUAACCAAAAACUUCAACUGUUCUGUAACCACUUUGCUAGUUCUGUUUUUGUGUAGGACCGGAGUAUGGGAUAGAUUAUUGAAAGGACAUGAGACACAUGGAUUAUACCAGUUAUCCGCUCCAAAACCACAUGUCGCUUUCACUUCCUCUGAUUUGCUUCAAAGUCAGAUGGGACAUCCAAGCUUCUUAAAACUGCAGAAGAUGGUCCCAAGUCUAUCUUAGUUUAUAGUAGUUAGAAAGUGAGUCGUUUUUCAACUCGGGAAACACAAUCGUAGUUCUUUCCCAAUAAGUGCCAAACUGUCAAUAAUAGGGCUUCCUCUAUGAUUGGAGUUGUUCUAUUGGAUAUAUGGGGUCCAAGUCAGUUCUUCAUUAGGCUUCCAUUAUUUUGUUACAUUAAUUGAUGACUAUUCUCAGAGCACAUGGUUAUUUUUAAUGAGAAAUAUAUCUGAAUUUUUCUCUAUUUUCAGAAUUUUUGUACUAAAAGUCGCAAUCAAUUUGGUGCCCAUAAAGAAUCAAUCGGUGCUAACCGAGAAGAUAUUUCUCUUUUUUCUCUUUCUGUCUGUGUCAUCACAAGGUAUAUCGCACUUGUCUUCUUGUGUACACACUCCUUAACAAAAUGGAGUUGCCGACAAAAAGAAUCAACAUCUCAUUGGAACAACUUGGACAUUACUCAUCCACAAUCAUGUUCCUUUACACUUUUGGGGUGAUGCCACUAUUACCACUUGAUAUUAAAUCAAUCAUAUGCCGUCUACCUUUUUGCAGUACAAGAGUCCACACACGAUCCUCAACCCAAACUAGACUCUGUUCAAUUCUUUUUUUUUUUUUUUGAGGAAGUAACAUGGCUUUGUGUUCAAUUCCUCCACAUGUGUUUGAUUGUAUUUGUUUUGUUCACAAUCUUAAACCUAGAAUAGAAAAACUUCAGUGAAAGGCUAUCAAAUGUGCCUUCUUAGUUCUUAGAUCUGCUGCACCUGCUGGAUAUGGUACUACCCAUGGUGGUAGUCAAGUUGGGUCUCAUCAAACUAGGGCACAGAGAGAUCCUCAACCUGAAGUUGAGAAUGCGGGUCAGCCCUGAUUAGUUGUUCCACAGCAAGUGCAAGAACAAGUUGUUCGGGAUGCUCCAUCAACAAUGCUGGACGUCAUAUCUGUUGUUGCUUUGCCUGCAAAUGGAAUGACCAGAUUGUUGGAUGUGUUAAAGAGGCUUUGGUGCCUAGCCAUGGUGGACUUCCAGUUCCUCAAGCUACUUCACAAAUGCAAACACAAGUUCAGUUGAAUGCUGCAGCUACACAGACACAUCAGUCGGUUGUUCAUUCAGUUGCAACUAUAGGGCAAUCCAAAGAUCUUAAGCCACCUGAUUUCGAUGUGACACUUAACCUCAUACACUGGAACUGCCGUAGCGCCUUGAAGCAGGUUAUUGAACUGACGUCUCAUAUCGUCUUGUUUCCUCAAUGCAAUGAACCUGUCCUUAAACAUUGCUGAAAAUUCCUGACCAAGUGAUAGGUGGUAACCCUGCUCAGCAAUGUUUAAGGACAGGUUCAUUGCAUUGAGCAAACAAGACGAUAUGAGACGUCAGUUCAAUAACCUGCUUCAAGGCGCUACGGCAGUUCCAGUGUAUGAGGUUAACUGGUUUAUCCAAGUAUGUUUCAUUUUUAGUUGAAGACCCAAAGGAGAAGGGUGAGAUGAUUCGUGGAUGGAUAUGAGCAUUGUUAUUGGGGUCCUGUGAUAUCAGAUGUGUGAAGAGCUACUUCUUCAGACGUAGUUGACACUGCUCUUCGUUUUUAGUCCUAUUCAAAAAUGGAAAAAGCUGAGCUAGAAAGCAAAGAGGCAUGUAACACGAGCAGGUUUAGUGGUGAAAAAAAAAAGAGUGGUUUUUUAUCACGGGCAGUGCAGGCCUGGUGCUAGUUAUUCUGGUGCUAGUUGAGCUACUACACAUCCGUAGAGAACUGCCACAGGUACAUAGACUAAGAUUCUAAGCUGCUCGGACUCUUCAAAAAUGUCAAUGGAUGCGUGUCAGAUACUCCAAAGAUAGGUAUUUUUGAAGGAUCCGACACGGGUGCGGCAACAUUUUUGGAGAGUUCGAGCAACUUAGCUAAGAUUCAUACAGCUAGGGCCGCUCGUAGACAGGGUCAACAAGGUGCACAAGUUGCUCAGGGAGCAGGUGGACCAUCGAAAUUAUUCCCUAUGGUCAGACAUGAUAUCAACACAUCUAAUGCAGUAGUCAUAGGUAUUAUCACUGUCAAUCUCGUGAGGCAUAUGCUCUUAUUGAUCCUGGUUCAACGUAUUCGUGAUCUCAAUUUUUUGCUAUAUCCUUAAAAUGAAAAAUCGAUUCUUUUAUUGUGCCAUAUAUAGUAAUGACCGCAGCAGUGAAACUUUAUCCGUGGAUAGACUAUAGGGUUUGGAGUAACUGGUAAAGUUGCUGCCAUGUGACCAGGUGGUCACGGGUUCAAGCCUUGGAAACAGCCUCUGGCAGAAAUGCAAGGUAAGACUGCGUAUGAUACACCCUUGUGGUGGGGCCCUUCCCCGAACACCACGCAUAGAGGUAGCUUUAGUGCACUGGGCUGCCCUUAGACUAUAGGGUUUAUAGAAACUGUGUGAUAGUUGUGCAAAAAUGGACACCAUCGUAGAUCCACUAGUGUCGAUGUCUGACUUUGAUGUGCUUAUGGGUAUGGAUUGGUUGGGGUUAUGUUAUGCUUUGGUUGAUUGCUAUGCUAAACUUAUACAUUUUGAUUUCCCCCCCCAAAAAAAAAAAAAACCUUUAGUGUGAAAAAACAUGACUCGCACAUAAUAUCUAAUGUAAAGGCACGCCAAAAUGAUUAAUCAUGGGUGUUCGAAUUUUAUUGCUAUCAUUCAUGAUACUCGAGCGAAAAUGUUACUAUUGACGGUGUUCCUAUUGUUCAAAAAUUUGUUGAUAUGUUUUCAAAAGAUUUGUCCCCGAUGUACUCAUAUUCAAAACAAAAAUCAGCUGAACUCUGACACGAUACAAAGUAAAAUUGGUUUGGAAAUAUCAAUCUUGCUUUACCUAAUUUGUGUUCUCCCAUUUUUAAUUAAUUUAUUCGUUGUACUAUAAACAUAAUCUAUACUUUAUGGCAUGUUAGGUCAGUAUAACUAAUAUAGGAUAAAAUAAAAGAAACUCAAAAAAGGAUCAACUAGACCAACGCAAAGUAGGCCACCAUAUAGUUGUAAAGGGUCGUGCACUAGGACCAAUCCCAUCCCUUUCUAAAAAUUACUGGCUCCAGACUUUUCCCUUAAGGAUGGAGCCAGCCUUGAACCAGACCAUGGCUCAUGUGCCAAAGAGAAAGUGAAGAUCCGCUAAUCAGGUGUAGGUCUAAGAAUUGCCGCUUACUGGUAGGCAGUGUUAUCAAAAAGCAAAAAGCACAAAAAAGCUCUAAGGUCCAUUGGGGCUUUAAGCACAAAUAAAGCAUGUGAUUUGAUAUUGUUUAGUCUCGCCAUUUGGGCAGAGGCUCACUAGAUGGAAAAAUAUGUCUUAGAGCCUUCGUUACAACACUGAAGCGCACGUUAAGUGAGGCGACACGCUCAACACGUUUUGUGCCUCGCUUCAGGGCAUAAGCACACCUUUGACGACACUGCUUUCAUGGGAAGCUGUUUGAUUCAAUCAAGGUCGCAGAGACUUUGAUACCAUGUGCAAAUAGAAAAGAAGCUAUUUGACAAUCAAGGUCACAGAGACUUUGAUACCAUGUGAAAAUAGAAAAGCUUCUCAAUUUACAAGAGGUAGAUCUUAAUUAAUCAACAUCAAUUGUCUGUGACAUAUUGGGAAGAAGAUACCCUUGGAAUGUGUACCAAAAAGUACUAAUCGAUUAUUUAAAUGGUGGAAGUGUGGUGGAAGUUCAAGGUUGGAUUGGAUAGAACUUAAUUAGGGUGUUAGCAAGAGGAUCUAGAUUGGUUUUUCCAUGAGAUAGCAGAAACGAGAUCAUUUUGAUUAGGAUCCACAACCUCUAUGUGCGCUUGGCUCAUCAUACUAAGGGUCAGCUAGGGGAAGAACACUUUAUAAUAGCAUCUCUGCCUAUGUUAGGAAAACUAUGUCAUCAACAAACUAUGUUAGAGAACCUGUUAUGGAAACUGUGCAAAUCUUAUAUAUAUCUACUUUUAAAGAUGAUUGAAGAAAGAAAAUUAACAAUAAACAUGAUUAAGAAGUAGAGGCAGUUGGGCAUCUAUACAACACAAAAGAUAUCAAAACAUUUACAAUGGAAGCUUAAAAACAAAAAUUUGAAGAAAAGAAAUUGUUGGGUUAUGCUUCGGGAGGAUAUAAGGAAGAAAGAUGUUUUCUAAGAGUAUUUUUAUACCUAAACUCAUGGAUUCUACUUCCACCUUUACUAUGGAACUGCAAAUUCUUACUAGGGAUGAUAACUUAGUACCAACACAGAAGCACAAUAGAUAAUCUAAGACCACCAUAAGUCAAAUUUCUAAGCUUAUUUCUCACACAAUUCGGCAAACCUCAGACAAGAUCUUUUUUUUAUGUGAUACUCGAACCAACAACCUUAAGUUCAGACGUGGAGGCGUUUUCCACUUGAGCUACCCUCUCGUGUCAAACAUCAGACAAGAUCUUAUCAAAACCUUUUCCACUCAAACAUUUCAACAAACCCACAAAACUCCUAAGUAUCUACACGAAUAUAAAGGAUUAUAUACCCCAAGACAGGUAAAUUAUUGAUAUUAAUUUUACAAUAAAGGAGAUAUUGCUAAAGGAGGGAAAGUGGGUAUCCUCAAGCCCAAAAACUAAGGAAAAAAGAACAAGACAUAAAUCACCUGCCCAAAAAUUACCGUUUUCAUUGAGGAAAGAGUAUAAUUCUACAACAUCGUGGUGCUACAGUAGAACUUUUUGGAUAUCAACGUAAAAUACACAGGGAAUGCAGAAAAAUAUCAAGCAGAGAACAAUAAUUAGGUGCAAUGAAAGCUUGCCUGUUCAGAGAGGUUGAGUCGUUGGCAGUUUUUCAAAGAACCCUGCUCAACUUUUGGAUCCCACUUAUUGUCAAAGAAAUAACCAUUAAUAUGACUCAUCGAUUUUUAGAACAAUCCCUUGAUUAGACCAAGAUCUUAGUGAGACAUCGACACCAAUCUUCAAAAGUUAAUACAAAAACAGGAUUGUUAUCCAUUUCAUUACACUCAGGCCAAACGCAGAGCUUAAGCACACUCCAUUUUUCUUCUAACAACUGAAGUGAUCAUUAUUUCAUUUUGAC
rnacentral:lncRNA from 1 species